GAUGAACGCUGGCGGCGUGCCUAAUACAUGCAAGUCGAGCGAACGGACGAGAAGCUUGCUUUUCUGAUGUUAGCGGCGGACGGGUGAGUAACACGUGGAUAACCUACCUAUAAGACUGGGAUAACUUCGGGAAACCGGAGCUAAUACCGGAUAAUAUUUUGAACCGCAUGGUUCAAAAGUGAAAGACGGUCUUGCUGUCACUUAUAGAUGGAUCCGCGCUGCAUUAGCUAGUUGGUAAGGUAACGGCUUACCAAGGCAACGAUGCAUAGCCGACCUGAGAGGGUGAUCGGCCACACUGGAACUGAGACACGGUCCAGACUCCUACGGGAGGCAGCAGUAGGGAAUCUUCCGCAAUGGGCGAAAGCCUGACGGAGCAACGCCGCGUGAGUGAUGAAGGUCUUCGGAUCGUAAAACUCUGUUAUUAGGGAAGAACAUAUGUGUAAGUAACUGUGCACAUCUUGACGGUACCUAAUCAGAAAGCCACGGCUAACUGCGUG
rnacentral:rRNA from 1 species